rnacentral:misc_RNA from 1 species
GUGAAUCAUCAAAUUUUUGAACGCAAAUUGCACUCUCCUCGGAUACUAUGCCUGUUUCAGUUCCAGCCUAUAAAAAAUCGACAUCGUUGCUGUUUCGCUGUGGCUUUCGUCCGAAAUUGGGUCAUCUUUAAUCUUUUGUUUUUAAGCGACUUAAAAUUUUCUUUUUGGUUCCAUGAACUUUUCUAAUAUUUAUGUCUUUCCACGUUUAAGAUAUCGAUAUUUUUUAGUCGUAACA